AUGUUGGCUGUCCGGGUGUGUAAAUACAUCUGUUAGCAAGGGCCGGGCAAGACCGGUGCCAGCCGCCGCGGUAACACCGGCGGCCCGAGUGGUGAUCGUGUUUAUUGGGUCUAAAGGGUCCGUAGCCUGUUUGGUCAGUCCUCCGGGAAAUCUGACGGCUUAACCGUUAGGCUUUCGGGGGAUACUGCCAGACUUGGAACCGGGAGAGGUAAGAGGUAUUACAGGGGUAGGAGUGAAAUCUUGUAAUCCCUGUGGGACCACCUGUGGCGAAGGCGUCUUACCAGAACGGGUUCGACGGUGAGGGACGAAAGCUGGGGGCACGAACCGGAUUAGAUACCCGGGUAGUCCCAGCCGUAAACGAUGCUCGCUAGGUGUCAGGCAUGGCGCGACCGUGUCUGGUGCCGCAGGGAAGCCGUGAAGCGAGCCACCUGGGAAGUACGGCCGCAAGGCUGAAACUUAAAGGAAUUGGCGGGGGAGCACAACAACGGGUGGAGCCUGCGGUUUAAUUGGACUCAACGCCGGACAACUCACCGGGGGCGACAGCAAUAUGUAGGCCAGGCUGAAGACCUUGCCUGAAUCGCUGAGAGGUAGUGCAUGGCC
rnacentral:rRNA from 1 species